UACAGAGACUGCAAGCGUUAUUCGGAUUCACUGGGCGUAAAGGGUGCGCAGGCGGUCGGGUGUGUCAGAUGUGAAAUCCCGAGGCUCAACCUCGGAACUGCGUCUGAAACUACUCGACUAGAGUACUGGAGAGGGUAACGGAAUUCACGGUGUAGCAGUGAAAUGCGUAGAUAUCGUGAGGAACACCAGAGGCGAAGGCAGCCCCCUGGGUCGAUACUGACGCUCAUGCACGAAAGCGUGGGGAGCAAACAGG
rnacentral:rRNA from 1 species